GUUUUUUCUCUUCCUACUAUCUGCAUCGCGAUAAAAACAUUAAUGCUACUAAAGAUUUGUUUACGGAUUGCGGCAAGCAGGAUGAGCAAAUCCUAAGACAAGAUUCAUCAACUGCUAUCAAUGAUCCUCUCAGCAUUGAUCUAACUACCCUUAAUGAUGUUGUUGAAGAAGAAUCUUCGUCAACUCCAUUAAACUCCAUUAUCCGACGGUUAAAUCAUCAUUCCAUUUCAGUAUUAAAAGCAUCGGAACAAUCACCUGGGGAACAAGCAGUGGAGUUUUCUGUUCCCGAACCCGCUCCGUCAAAGAGGGUACAUGCAAUUAUAGUAUUAUUUGAAUUUGCUACAUUUAAUAAGCAAGGCAC